rnacentral:sRNA from 1 species
UUUUUGCGUUAGGGAUAGCAGCGAUAUCCUUUUUGUUUUUCACAAAAAGAUUUAGCGAAUAGCCUGUUAAAAC